rnacentral:lncRNA from 1 species
GAAAUUAAAGUAACAGCUUUGCUCUGAGUAGUAGAUGUCUUUUACCGGUUUAAUAAUGUUUGCUCCAGAUUGAUCAAUCUCUCUCCAUAUGUCAUCCAUAGAGUAGUUUCCAUCAUCACAUUCUUGAUUCAUUUUGCCAUUGGAUCCUACAGUGUCUUGGGUCAUAGACGAUGAGCAGCAGUUUGAAGAUGAGGAAGUUGGCGACAUAGGUCGCUUUUUCUCUUGUGCCUGCUUCCUCAUAUGAGUCCUCCAGUAAUUCUUUAUCUCAUUAUCUGUUCGACCAGGCAAUUUCUUUGCGAUUUUUGACCACCUGCAUAUGAAUAUUUCCAAAGUUCAUACAACAACAAAAAAAAAAAAAGUGAAAGAAACAAAAAGAGAGGGAAGUUUUGAGGUUUAUCAGUUUCUUGCAGAUAUCUUCUGACCUGUUUCCCCAUGUGGCAUGCAGCUCAAGGACAAGACGCUCUUCUUGAUGAGUCAUCUUUCCACGUUUGAGGCCAGGAUGCAGGUAAUUAACCCACCUUAGCCUGCAACUCUUUCCUGUUCUGUUUAAACCUACAACCAAAACUAGGUCAGACUUUUAAAAUGGAAGGUCCUUUCCAGAGACCGCCCAUUUUUCCAAACACAAACCCUAUACCUAUUCUUAUCAUGUUUCUCCCUCCACCUUCAAACCUGAAACUUUGGCUACAAAAUCCCAUCUUCGAUCUCCGAAAGCGUGGACAAAGUUGACCAAGAGGAUGUCCUCCUGUUCUGUCCACGGUCCUUUGCGGUAUUCUUCUUGCACAUUUUUCAUCUCACUCUUUCUUUUUUAAUUUUCUCUCUGAAAAGAAGGAAAGUUACUUCUCAGCUUUGUUUUGUGGGAACUUAUGGCAUAAUCUAGACCAAUAUUUAUAUGUGAGCCAACUUGAACAAUGCGUUGUUGUGUCUACGCGAUAUAGCACUCACAUUAUUAAAAUUCUCAAAUGAUUUGUCUUUCUUAUCUUUACCGUCCAUAUAUGGUGAGAGAUUAUGCUGAUGAUAAUGUGGGGGCCUGUUGUUUUAUGAUGCCAUCAAGCUAUUAUAGCAUUAAAAAUGGAAAUGAUCGGUAAUAGGCGAUUGAUGUACACUGAUGCAACACUCCCAUUAACUCGGCCUUUUCUAUUUCUUUUUGUGUGUUGCAAUAAGAACACGUUCUUAUAUUUUCUUUUGGUAGAUCUCAAUAGUUUCUAUUGCACUAUCUGUAAAAUAUUCAGCGGCUAUCCCAAAUCGAUCAAGAGAGGAACUGAGGUAAACUAUAUAAUCUUAUCAUCUAAAACAAAAAAAAUAUGCAAAAUAUUGUUUUUCCUUUAUGGUUUAAACAAUAUGGAAGGAAUAUAUAAAUUUGUGUGAGCAAAAAAAGGAUCCAACAUUUUUCAACUAUUUUGUGAGGUUAUGAUUGCAAUUUGUCCUUUGACUUUAUUAAAGGUUAAUCUAGAUAUCACUAUAGAAGCGUAUAAGAGCAUUUUUAACGCGGUAUACUGCGUUUCUUAAGGAGUGGAUCCCGCGCUUUUGAUAAAAACGGGUUUCAUAAGUCGUGAGAUAAUGAACGGUUUCGGUCCGUUUCUUACAUUAUUUUGCGGGCUCCACGACACGUGGCGGCCCGCGAUUGGUUCUGUUUUUAUUUUUAUUUUAAUCACAUAAAACAAAAAUAAAUAAAGAUUUUUUUUUUUGAAACUCAAAACGGAUUUCACCCGAUAAUCAUGCUCUAAAAGCAGGGCCGUGCCUGAGAUAUAUUGGCCUUGAAGCAGAAAUAUUUUUUUGGCCCGUUUCUUUUAUAUAAACUGUGAAAAUUCUAAAAAAAUGAAGCUGUAGAGCGUCGAACCCAGGUAUGUAUACACCCAAGCCAAUAACAAAACCGGUUAAGUUACAUAAGAUUUAUGGAAAUAUUGGCCCUUUAAAAUACAUAUCUUCACCGGCCCUCAAGCAUAUGCUUUAUCAGCUUUUAUUCAGGCACGACCCUGUCUAAAAGGCAAAGAAAGAAGAAAAAGCAUAGAGCAGAAGGGGUCGAAUUGUUUUGGGUGUCUGAUAAGUGGCCUUUUGUAUCUAGCAGCAGCGCUUGAGAUUGAAAGUUAAAUACUUAGAUAUCUUUUUAGGAUCAGGAAUUCAUUCUAAAGACCCACCAAAUUAUUUAUUUAGUAACUGAGAAAGGCCAAUUCUAUUUGCCUUGACAUUGUGAAAUUCCCCUUGGUACUCUGUUUCAUGUCUUCGAAACUUUGGGUUUUAGUAUAUAAUCUUUCCAAACCCUAAAUUCAUUCGUUAAUAAUAACUAGGGGCAUUGCCCCCGCGCAAACGCGGAGUUGUGGAUAGAGUUCUUGUUUCAUCUCAAUAUUUGCUAGGAUUAUUGUGGUUGUGCAUUUUGCAUUUUGAAUUGUUUUUCAAGUUUUUUUUAUUGUUAUAGGGUUAGAGUUGUGAUGAUGAACUGUGUAUGCAUUGUUCUCUACUUAUGAAUGACUAAAUUGUGUUAAUAAUGUGAUUGAUAUAGUUCGUUGUGUUGUUUGCUGUGUUACUGAGACUUAUUGUUUGUUUGUCUUUUUAAUUUAUUUCUUAUACUGUUGAGAAUAAAUAAAUUAUAUUAAAGUUGUUGAGAGUACCUUUUGUUUCUAGAUAUUUUUUCUCCAGUUUAGUUGUGUGUAUUAAGUAAUAAUUUUUAUUAUCCUUAUUAUGUUUGUUAUAUGUUUUUAUUUUAUUUUUAAACUUGUUGCUCUUACCGAACCUUUAAAACAAAUACACGAAGACUUGUAGAAAUAACUAUAAAAUGAGUGACAGUUCUGAGUAUUUGGGCUUUAACGGGUUUUAAACGAAUUUAUGCAUUUCUCAAAAGAAGACAAUAGCAUUGGCAUGUUAACAUUGGGCAUGUAAGCUAUUUUUAUAAGACAGGAGUAGUGAGCAGGUGGAGAUGUUGUUGCUGCCUUUGUGUAUAUCGGGAUUGUCUCUUGUAUCUCUUGGUGUAGUUGUGUUUGUUUAUCUUUUAUUUGAUGGGUAAUAUGCAAACAAAAAUCAUUGUUAGUAGUAUUUAUCAGAGUUCGCAAUGUACUCUGCUUUUUUGUUUAGGUAAGUUCACUGAUUUUGGUUGUCGUCUUCGUCUUCUUCGUUGCGAAAGUAAGUUUGUAAAUUGUUAAAUAGCUGGCCGUGUAAUUUGUAUUUUUUUAGCUGGUUUGAUGUAUGUGUCGUUGAAUUUUAGUUGAGGUGGUUGGUUUGGUAUAUUUGUUUUGAAGUUUAUUUCUAAGAUUAGACAAAAAAGAGAGGUAAUCAUUAAUGAUUCGUCUUUUUUGGAAUUCUAGUUUUUGGUGUUUUGAUUGUUUGGGUUGUUGUGGUUUCUUUUAAGCUGUAAAAUAAAAGUUUGUGUAAAAUUAGUUUGAUAAGUAAGGGAGAUAAAUAGACGAUCACAAAAUAUGAAAUAUUUUUGAUUAUUAAUGUUAACACAAUAUAUAUAAUAAUAUAAAGGGAAUUGUUUGUUGACUGUUUCUUACGGAUCAAUGAGGAGACGAAUAAGGACUCGAGUUGUUUCUUUGGUAAAGUUAGAGCCCUGGACAGAACGGAUUUGCCCAACCACAUCUGCAAGUUUAAAUAUCAGUUAUGAUAUCGAAACAUAAUAUAAACUCAGAUGCAGUAUGAUAAUAUACCUGAGAGUUAUAGGUUUGUGUUCGUAAUCACUUGGAAUUGUCGAACAGUCUAGUUAUGACUGGAGAUUAGUCUCAGGAGCACCCGUGAUGACUUCAUCAUUAAUAGUUGGUGAGAUGAAACGAAUGAGGAAUUGAUUAUCAGUUAUCUUGUACAUGCUUGAGCACAUAGCAACCUCAAAACGAUCAACUUUCACAAUGAACCGGCUUUCAAAGAUGACAUGUAAUGAUUAGCACGUCCGGCGGGAAUAAACCCAUGAAUCACGAAAUCUGCAAAUAAUAUUAUUCAACAAAGAAUCAGUCAUAGAGUAGUUUCCAUCAUCACAUUCUUGAUUCAUUUUCCCAUUGGAUCCUCCAGUGUCUUGGGUCAUAGAGGAUGAGCAGCAGUUUGAAGAUGAGGAAGUUGGCGACAUAGGUCGCUUCUUCUCUUGUGCCUGCUUCCUCAUAUGAGUCCUCCAGUAAUUCUUUAUCUCAUUAUCUGUUCGACCCGGCAAUUUCUUUGCGAUUUUUGACCACCUGCAUAAGAAUAUUUCCAAAGUUCAUACAACAACAAAAAAAAAAUAAAAAAAGGAAAAAAAAAAGAGAGGAAAGUUUUGAGGUUUCUCAGUUUCUUGCAGAUAUCUUCUGACCUGUUUCCCCAUGUGGCAUGCAGCUCAAGGACAAGACGCUCUUCUUGAUGAGUCAUCUUUCCACGUUUGAGGCCAGGAUGCAGGUAAUUAACCCACCUUAGCCUGCAACUCUUUCCUGUUCUGUUUAAACCUACAACCAAAACUAGGUCAGACUUUUAAAAUGGAAGGUCCUUUCCAGAGACCGCCCAUUUUUCCAAACACAAACCCUAUACCUAUUCUUAUCAUGUUUCUCCCUCCACCUUCAAACCUGAAACUUUGGCUACAAAAUCCCAUCUUCGAUCUCCGAAAGCGUGGACAAAGUUGACCAAGAGGAUGUCCUCCUGUUCUGUCCACGGUCCUUUACGGUAUUCCUCUUGCACAUUUUUCAUCUCUCUCUUCCUUUUUUAAUUUUCUCUCUGAAUAGAAGGAAAGUUACUUCUCAGUUUUGUUUUGUGGGAACUUAUGGCAUACUCUAGACCAAUAUUUAUAUGUG